UCGAGAAUCUUCCGCAAUGGGCGAAAGCCUGACGGAGCGACGCCGCGUGUAGGAUGAAGGCCCUCGGGUUGUAAACUACUGUCACGGGUUAUGAAUGUGCAUAUGUUAACAGCGUGUGUAUUGACGUAAGCCCGAAAGGAAGCACCGGCUAACUCUGUGCCAGCAGCCGCGGUAAUACAGAGGGUGCAAACGUUGUUCGGAAUUACUGGGCAUAAAGCGCGCGUAGGCGGCAAUUCAAGUCAUCUGUGAAAUCUCCGGGCUUAACUCGGAACGGUCAGAUGAUACUGCUUUGCUAGAGUGCAGAAGGGGCAAUCGGAAUUCUUGGUGUAGCGGUGAAAUGCGUAGAUAUCAAGAGGAACACCUGAGGUGAAGACGGGUUGCUGGGCUGACACUGACGCUGAGGCGCGAAAGCCAGGGGAGCAAACGGGAUUAGAUACCCUGGUAGUCCCUGAGCGGGCUGGCAAGGCGCAU
rnacentral:rRNA from 1 species